rnacentral:lncRNA from 1 species
UCACCAGUUUCGCGAUGACGACCUUGGGAUCAUCCUUGAAGUGUUCCGCGACUUCGUCCAGCGUGGGCGCCAGUUUCUUACAGUGGCCACACCACGGCGCGUAGAAUUCCAAAAGAACUGGAGGUACGAAUAAAUGUUAGUAGAGUGUAAACUAUAACGUGGUUAUGUUCUUGUGCAUUACCAUCUUUCCCAGACUCGAUAACGAGGUCGUUCAAAGUGUUCCUCACCACCACUUUGACUGGUUCAUCGUUUUUCUCGGGAACGGGCUCGGACUUCACCCACGGCUUGAGCUUUCCAGCCUGUGUCCAAUGUCAAGUGUAAGAGAAAAUGUGAGCGUCCGUGAGAGAACUUACCAAAUAGUCGUCCACAAAACUGGAUAGCUU